UUACUUAUUAUAUUAUUUCUCUAUAGCUCAGGAUUUGAAUAGUACAUCAAACUGCGAAGAACAGGAAGGCGAAAAUAACUUAUAGAAAUGUUAUAAAUAAAGGCCCUUUUUUUUUUAAUUAAGAACUCGAAGUUCGCAGCUUAGACAUUGCACCUUCAGAUGCUAAUAAAUAGCUAAAAGUAUUUGUCAAAAAAACAUGCAUUCUUGUAUAACAACCACCAUACUAAAGAGAGAAGCCAAGUUAAGAUGUAAGGAUUUUCUCAGAUAUGUGUUUUGAGAAGAUGCUCCAUGCUGACUCAAUACAUAAAAUAAAACCAAUCAGCAGACAAGAUGGGAAACAUUGCUUCCACAAUUCCAGACAUAAAGGGCCAAGCUACUGCAUCAUCUUUUUUACAUUAAGAAGUUGAAAUUUUCAGCAUAGAUAGCACAAUUCCCCAUAACAAUAAAAUAAAGACCUUUUAUAUAAAAAAUAAUGCUAAUGCUUUGUGUCAAAGGGUGAAAAGGUCUAAACUAUAUCCUAAUUACAGUUCCAGUGCCAAUGCAAAAGGCUAAUCAGAACAGAUACGGCAAAGGCUGGCCAAAGAAGCAUAGUCCCACCACCAAGUAAUAAAUAAGACAACCUCCCUGAACUAAACCUAUAAAUAUUUAGAUGACAACAGUACAAUAUCAAGGAAAAUAUAAUCCUUUUCUUCCAAUGAAUCGAAGGCAAAAAGAUGAGGAACUUUUUACCAAACUAACUGGCUAAGCAACAGCAUAAUCUCCUGCACUUCAAAUGACAAACAUCAGACCUACCAUAACAUGAUGUUGUAAAAAAAAUACAUGCCAAAACCCCAGCUAUUCCCUUACAUGAAUUCACAAGAGCCGAGCAACCACUAACAAAGCACAUGAAACGAGAAAGAAAAAUAUGAACAGAUGGUCAGGACCAAGAAAAAAAACAACCUCUAUAACAAGUAAACAAACAAAGAUCAAUUUUUUUGGUAAACUGGCUUUAUUAAAUCAAUCUAGAAUAAAUACUACCGAGGGAUUCAAGAAAUAAAAUAUUAAAAAAAUUCUAUAGGCGAAUAUCUACCAAUGACUUCCAUAGAGUAGAUCCAGUAUGAUUAGCCACAUAUGUCGCCAUCCAAUCUACUGUUAUCCUAUCUUUAAACAUGUAUAACUUCGAAGCUGUAGAAAUGCCAUCAUUUCCAGCAGUCCUGUCGAAGCGGAUGAAAACCAACCUCUGAAGGUGUUGCUCCAGAUAACCAUCUAACAAACAUCAAGGGAUCUCCUUCAAGGAUAAUAUAGGCGGCCUUCGGAAUUCUAGUAGCAUAAGACACACUUUUCCAUUUCACACAAAGUUCUGCCAUAGGAAUUGUAAGAUC
rnacentral:lncRNA from 1 species